ensembl:lncRNA
UGAGUUGGUAAAUCUUUAUUCAAUACAGUGUUCACCGUAACACACAUUAUGUUUGCAUUAUUUGUACAGAAAGCAUGUUAUGAUUGCACAUGUCUAAAGCCCAGUUUCCAUUGGCUCAGUGAAUUUUGUAACAGAUUCUUGCCAGGUGAGGGAAAACAACCAGAGGUAAAUAAACCUGUCCACCAAGGUCAAGGUCAAGGUUGAGGUCAAUGUGCCAAUGAUAAGGGAGCUAAAGUUUUUCUCAGCUGUGUAGUAUUAAGAUACACUAUAUUACCAUGAAAUGCUGCUACAGUAGAUGACAAAUAUUAGCCUGGUCAUAGAGCCGUGAGAUCAUGCCAAUUCUGUUAGUCACUGUCACGCUAAACACGGACUGACAGUAAGUGGCAAAGGAGUUGGAAUGAGUGCACAAACAGACUGGCACUCAGGCCACUAAAACAUUGUCCAGAUUGUCCUGAUUUUCUUCACAAUACUGCCUACUCUUGGGCAAUAGAAGGCUGGCACUGUCCUAAAAAUAGCCUGCGUUUACACAGGCAGAUACUGAUCUUUAGCCCAUCUGAUGACGGCGAUGCAGAUGGGAAAGUGGCUGCGAUGCGGCAGAGAAAAGACUUGUUCGUGGGGGAAAAAAAAGAUCAAAAGAUCACAAAUGGACAGCCUGGGUAAAUACAACCGGGAUGCGGCAGACAUUAUGAACUCUGUUUUACAUCGAAUGUAUCACCUACUAUGCUGUCAACUGACUUCCAGAAACUGUUACGGGGAUUGGUUGCACUUUUGUUUUGGCGCAAAGAUUUACCAAUAAGUGCUGUAGUGUUACACCAGCCUCACCCAUGAUACAUUGUCACUUUCUUUCUCUGUCUGUAUUUAUAUAUAUGCAUUUAUAAAUCUAUUAACAGUAUAUACUUUAUAUGAGGAGAAUAUAUACAGUAUACGUAUCGUGUUUGGACUGUUCGCAUUCACAAAAACAUAUGGUCCAUUUUUACAAUAUUGAAAAAUACCUAGAACCUUUUGCCCAGGAUAAUCUGUUACGUUCUUGCUGAAACAUCUAUCAUCUGUCAUUGUGUACAGUCCAAUACUCUUACUACAGUUCACUUUUAAUUCACUGGACCUGGUCCAACCUCAUCCAUCAGUUUACUCCUAAUUCAUUGGACCUGCACCAACCAUCCAUCAGCCAUCCAUAAAACCGCAAGCAAUGUGCUGUGUUCACAAAAUAUAUUCUCAUUACUCCCCGAG